AUUGAACGCUGGCGGCAUGCUUUACACAUGCAAGUCGAACGGUAACAGCACUUCGGUGGCUGACGAGUGGCGAACGGGUGAGUAACACAUCGGAACGUGCCUAGUAGUGGGGGAUAACUACUCGAAAGAGUAGCUAAUACCGCAUGAGAUCUAAGGAUGAAAGCAGGGGACCUUCGGGCCUUGCGCUACUAGAGCGGCUGAUGGCAGAUUAGGUAGUUGGUGGGAUAAAAGCUUACCAAGCCGACGAUCUGUAGCUGGUCUGAGAGGACGACCAGCCACACUGGGACUGAGACACGGCCCAGACUCCUACGGGAGGCAGCAGUGGGGAAUUUUGGACAAUGGGCGCAAGCCUGAUCCAGCAAUGCCGCGUGCAGGAUGAAGGCCUUCGGGUUGUAAACUGCUUUUGUACGGAACGAAAAGCCCUCUUCUAAUACAGGAGGGUCAUGACGGUACCGUAAGAAUAAGCACCGGCUAACUACGUG
rnacentral:rRNA from 1 species